AUUGAACGCUGGCGGCAGGCCUAACACAUGCAAGUCGAGCGGAUGAAGCGUGCUUUCUCCUGGAUUCAGCUGCGGCCGGGUGAGUAAUGCCUAGGAAUCUGCCUGGUCGUGGGGGAUAACGUCCUUAAACGGGCGCUAAUACCCCAUACGUCCUUUUGUUGCAAGUUGGGGUUCUUCGGUCCUCACGCUUUCUUCUUUGCCUUGGUCGGUUUUCCUAGUUGGUGGGGUAAAGGCCUACCAAGGCGACGAUCCGUAACUGGUCUGAGAGGAAGAUCAGUUACAAGGGAAGUGAGACAGGGUAAAGACACCGACGGGAGGAAGCAGUGGGGAAUAUUAGAGAAUGGGGGAAAGCCUGAUCGAGCAAAGCCGAGGGAGGGAAGAAGGAGUUAGGAUUGUAAAGCAAUGUAAGUUGGGAGGAAGGGAAGUAAGUUAAAACGGGGCUGUAUUGACGGUACCAAAAGAAUAAGCACCGGCUAACUUCGUG
rnacentral:rRNA from 1 species